UUUCGCGUCUGCGCAUGCGCUCCACCCCGCCCACGGACGCGCCUCUGCCUUCCCGAUGGACGCGCCUCUGCCCUCCCGAUGGACGCGCAUGCGCCCUGCCCAGGCACGCGCCUGUGCCUUCCCGAUGGACGUGCCUGCGCUCUGCCCAGGGACGGGUCUGUGCCUACUCCGCGGACGCGCAUGCGCCCUGACCGGGCACGGAUCUACCCUGGGACUAGAGAAGCUAUCACCAUUGUUUUGGCAAAGGCUGAUGUCCAUCACAGAGGAGAGUUUAUGCAAGAAGACAACCAAAGUUGUGCUCACAAUCACCCCCUCCCACCCCCUCCUCAUCCCGGAGGCUCCCUUGUGUAAAACUUCAGUCUUCCAUUCAGGAUAUUCAGGCCUAAAAUGUUAUAUAUUCAGCCACUUUGGGAGUCGGGCGUGGGUAUACAAAAUUCGAUGUCUGUAGGAAUGUAAGACUUCAUUUUUACCUAAUCAAACUAAAAAUAUAUACAACACUUCAA